rnacentral:rRNA from 1 species
GACGAACGCUGGCGGCGUGCUUAACACAUGCAAGUCGAACGGAAAGGCCCCCUUGUGGGGUGCUCGAGUGGCGAACGGGUGAGUAACACGUGAGUAACCUACCCUUGACUUUGGGAUAACUUCAGGAAACUGGGGCUAAUACCGGAUAGGAGCUCCUGCUGCAUGGUGGGGGUUGGAAAGUUUCGGCGGUUGGGGAUGGACUCGCGGCUUAUCAGCUUGUUGGUGGGGUAGUGGCUCACCAAGGCUUUGACGGGUAGCCGGCCUGAGAGGGUGACCGGCCACAUUGGGACUGAGAUACGGCCCAGACUCCUACGGGAGGCAGCAGUGGGGAAUAUUGCACAAUGGGCGGAAGCCUGAUGCAGCAACGCCGCGUGCGGGAUGACGGCCUUCGGGUUGUGAACCGCUUUCGCCUGUGACGAAGCGUGAGUGACGGUAAUGGGUAAAGAAGCACCGGCUAACUACGUG